CAACGAUUGAAAUUUCUUUUGAGAGCCAAAUUUUUUAAACUUAAACUAUAUAGGUAGGUACAUUGUUAUUCACUAAAUUAGGGUACUCUUAAGCUGGCUUUUGCUAAAAACUCAAGAGGCCAAAGAGCCACAUGUGGCUCAAGAGCCAGAGUUUACUGACCACUGUCCUAAUCCCAUUUGAGUCUCAACCAUUUUCC